UAGCAGUGGGGAAUAUUGCACAAUGGGCGAAAGCCUGAUGCAGCGACGCCGCGUGAGGGAUGACGGCCUUCGGGUUGUAAACCUCUUUCAGUAGGGAACAAGGCCAGUGUUUAGCUGGUUGAGGGUACUUGCAGAAGAAGCGCCGGCUAACUACGUGCCAGCAGCCGCGGUAAUACGUAGGGCGCAAGCGUUAUCCGGAAUUAUUGGGCGUAAAGAGCUCGUAGACGGUUUGUCG
rnacentral:rRNA from 1 species